GAACAUCUCUUUGGUUGAAGCACAUCUAGAUACAAACAUUAGUGAUCUGGAAAAGAUAUAUAUAUAUAUCUGGACCAGACUUCUGUUCUGAAGGUUAUUGACCAAUUUUACAGAUAGGACAACCAAAAACUACUGAGGUCUUAGGAAGUUUAUUUGCUUUCAGUCACAUGGUAAAAGGUUUGCUUGAUAUAUUAGAAAUAUCUUGCCUCCUAGUCUUUUUACUAGUCAAAUAUCUUGCUUUCUCUUGUCAUUUCACCAGUAAUACACAUCUAACACAUAUAGAACACAGAUUGCCUACUCUUAUUGUAUCUAAAGCAAGGAUUUUGAUGGGGAGAGGAAGGUGGGGGAACUCAUUUAGCUUUUUAUUUCAAUAGCUUUAGGGGUACAAGUGGUUUCUGGUUACAUGGAUGAAUUGUAUAGUGGUGUAAAGUCUGAAAUUUUAGUGCACCCAUCACUGGACUACUGUACAUUGUACUCAGUAUGUAGUUUCUGUUUCCCUCACCCCCUCCCACCCUCCCUAAAGCAGGGAUUUUAUUUUUUUAUAUUUUUACUUUUUUAACUUUUAGGGGUACAGUACAUUUGUUAAAUAGGUAAACUUGUGUCACGGGGGUUUGGCACAGAUUAUUUCGUUAUCCAGAACUACUUGGCUACAGAAUACUUUGAUCCUGGCCCUUCUGUGACUGCUCCCUGAUGGAAUAUUUGGACAAAAUCCCAACACUGAAUUAAGAUGAAGGUAUGCUGUAAUGUCUUAUAUGAAAAAUAACAUCAGAUCAAGGUCUCUCUUUUCUUUCAUUUUAAAAAAUUUUGUACUGCUCAUACCAUAUGGGGAAAUGGGCCUGCCCUCAAGUAACUGCUUCUUUUGAAUCUUUUCAGUAGCUCAAACUUGAACUCAGGCAUCAGUUCUUUGUAAGGCUAAAAGAACACGGCCUCUAAGUACCAAAUUAGUCAUUCACAUGAGCCAAGUAAUCAACUAAGAAUCCUUGGUACUUUCCUUGGACUAGCUGCAAGCCUAUAGUCCAAAGAUCACUGAUCUCUAACUUAGGAAAGGCCAAAAGGUACUUAAUACCUGCUCCAUAGUUUUAGAAGUAACUGAAGUCAUGAAAUAAAAGGUGCUCAUGAGUCUUCUGGAUGUAUGUCAGCAAUUCAGUUAAUUCACUGAAGAAAAAAAAAUACAUGUAAAUAUUUACUUUCAUUAACUCUAUACUCGGCAAUUUUACAGCAAAGAACAUAUAAUAAGAGGUGUUCACCCAAAAUGGAGAUUAAUGCAGUUAACACUGACAGGUUUAUACUAAGGUACAAAAACAAGUGCUUGACUUAGAAAUUUAACUUUAUUUACAAAUGUUCUCCUAUAAACAAAGAUGCCAUUCUACACCUUUAAAAUAUUGUAACUGAUAAUUUCC
rnacentral:lncRNA from 10 species